ensembl:snoRNA SNORD105 small nucleolar RNA, C/D box 105
CCCCCAGCUCUCAUGAUGAACCCAUAUGCCUCUGAGUUGCCAUGAUUCUGGCUUCAAAGUAAACGCGCUGAAGAGAUGGAGCAGAGG